rnacentral:tRNA from 1 species
GGGUAUAUAGCUCAGUGGUAGAGUGCUUAGCAUGCACAAGGUCCUGGGUUUAAUCCCCAGUACCUCUA